rnacentral:rRNA from 1 species
GACGAACACUGGCGGCGUGCUUAACACAUGCAAGUCGAACGGUAAGGCCCUUCGGGGUACACGAGUGGCGAACGGGUGAGUAACACGUGGGUGAUCUGCCCUGCACUUCGGGAUAAGCCUGGGAAACUGGGUCUAAUACCGGAUAGGACCACUGCCUGCAUGGGGGGUGGUGGAAAGCUUUUGCGGUGUGGGAUGGGCCCGCGGCCUAUCAGCUUGUCGGUGGGGUGAUGGCCUACCAAGGCGACGACGGGUAGCCGGCCUGAGAGGGUGACCGGCCACACUGGGACUGAGAUACGGCCCAGACUCCUACGGGAGGCAGCAGUGGGGAAUAUUGCACAAUGGGCGCAAGCCUGAUGCAGCGACGCCGCGUGAGGGAUGACGGCCUUCGGGUUGUAAACCUCUUUCAGCACCGACGAAGCGCAAGUGACGGUAGGUGCAGAAGAAGGACCGGCCAACUACGUGCCAGCCGCCGCCGUAAUAC